GAUGAACGCUGGCGGCGUGCCUAAUACAUGCAAGUCGAGCGAACAGACGAGGAGCUUGCUUUUCUGACGUUAGCGGCGGACGGGUGAGUAACACGUGGAUAACCUACCUAUAAGACUGGGAUAACUUCGGGAAACCGGAGCUAAUACCGGAUAAUAUAUUGAACCGCAUGGUUCAAUAGUGAAAGACGGUCUUGCUGUCACUUAUAGAUGGAUCCGCGCUGCAUUAGCUAGUUGGUAAGGUAACGGCUUACCAAGGCAACGAUGCAUAGCCGACCUGAGAGGGUGAUCGGCCACACUGGAACUGAGACACGGUCCAGACUCCUACGGGAGGCAGCAGUAGGGAAUCUUCCGCAAUGGGCGAAAGCCUGACGGAGCAACGCCGCGUGAGUGAUGAAGGUCUUCGGAUCGUAAAACUCUGUUAUUAGGGAAGAACAAAUGUGUAAGUAACUAUGCACGUCUUGACGGUACCUAAUCAGAAAGCCACGGCUAACUACGUG
rnacentral:rRNA from 1 species